rnacentral:misc_RNA from 1 species
GAAAUGCGAUACUUGGUGUGAAUUGCAGAAUCCCGUGAACCAUCGAGUCUUUGAACGCAAGUUGCGCCCCAAGCCAUUAGGCCGAGGGCACGUCUGCCUGGGUGUCACGCAUCGUCGCCCCCAUCCAACCAUGAGCCCUCGAGCCUCGGUUGGACCGCGGGCGGAAAUUGGCCUCCCGUGCGCUCACAGCCAGCGGUUGGCCUAAAUUCGAGUCCUCGACGACAUCAUCGUCGCGACGAUCGGUGGUAAUGCUGCAAGCAACCUCGUUCGGAGUCGUGCGCGUCCGUCGAUCGAGACCCUUGAACCCUUUCGGCAUCGCAAGGACGGUGCUCGCAUCGCGACCCCAGGUCAGGCGGGAUUACCCGCUGAGUUUAA